rnacentral:rRNA from 1 species
GAUUAGAGUUUGAUCCUGGUUCAGAUUGAACGCUGGCGGCAUGCCUUUCCCCAUCCAAGUCGAACGGCAGCAUGGAGGAGCUUGUUCUUCUGAUGGCGAGUGGCGAACGGGGGAGGUAAAGCAUCGGAACGUACCGUGUAGUGGGGGAUAACGUAGCGAAAGUUACGCCUAAUACCGCAUACGCACUGAGGUGGAAAGCAGGGGAUCGCAAGACCUUGCGCUAUACGAGCGGCCGAUGUCAGAUUAGCUAGUUGGUAGGGUAAAGGCCUACCAAGGCGACGAUCUGUAGCGGGUCUGAGAGGAUGAUCCGCCACACUGGGACUGAGACACGGCCCAGACUCCUACGGGAGGCAGCAGUGGGGAAUUUUGGACAAUGGGGGAAACCCUGAUCCAGCCAUGCCGCGUGAGUGAAGAAGGCCUUCGGGUUGUAAAGCUCUUUCGGCUGGGAAGAAAUCGCACAGGCUAAUACUCUGUGUGGAUGACGGUACCAGCAUAAGAAGCA